CUACGGGAGGCACCAGUGGGGAAUAUUGGACAAUGGGGGAAACCCUGAUCCAGCAAUGCCGCGUGUGUGAAGAAGGCCUGCGGGUUGUAAAGCACUUUCGGUUGGGAGGACUGCUUCUAGCACUAAUAUUGUUGGAAGUUGACGUUACCUUCAGAAGAAGCACCGGCUAACUCCGUGCCAGCAGCCGCGGUGAAUACGGAGGGUGCAAGCGUGAAUCGGAAUUACUGGGCGUAAAGCGCGCGUAGGCGGCUAGAUCAGUCGGGUGUGAAAGCCCCGGGCUUAACCUGGGAACUGCAUCCGAUACUGUCUAGCUUGAGUACAGGAGAGGAGAGUGGAAUUCCACAUGUAGCGGUGAAAUGCGUAGAUAUGUGGAGGAACACCAAUGGCGAAGGCAGCUCUCUGGCCUGAUACUGACGCUGAGGUGCGAAAGCGUGGGGAGCAAACAGGAUUAGAUACCCCAGUAGUC
rnacentral:rRNA from 1 species